GGCUCAUCGCAUCCUGGGGCUGGAUAAGGUCCCAAGGGUCGGGCUGUUCGCCCGUUAAAGCGGUACGCGAGCUGGGUUCAGACCGUCGUGAGACAGGUCGGUCUCUAUCCGCUGUGGGCGUUAGGGAUUUGCGAGGAGCUGCCCCUAGUACGAGAGGACCGGGGUGGACAGACCGCUGGUGUGCCAAUUGUCGUGCCAACGGCAGCGUUGGGUAGCCAUGUCUGGCAGUGAUAACCGCUGAAAGCAUCUAAGUGGGAAGCACGCCUCAAGAUGAGAUCCCUGUCUCGGUAACGAGUAAGGUCGCAGGAAGACUACCUGCUUGAUAGGCGGCGUGUGGAAGUGCAGCAAUGCAUGCAGCUAAGCCGUACUAAUGACCGAAGGCUUCUU
rnacentral:rRNA from 1 species